CUUCGGGUGCGUUAAUGGGCGUCGAGCGGCGGACGGGUGAGUAAUGCCUAGGAAAUUGCCUUGAUGUGGGGGAUAACCAUUGGAAACGAUGGCUAAUACCGCAUAAUGCCUACGGGCCAAAGAGGGGGAUCUUCGGACCUCUCGCGUCAAGAUAUGCCUAGGUGGGAUUAGCUAGUUGGUGAGGUAAUGGCUCACCAAGGCGACGAUCCCUAGCUGGUCUGAGAGGAUGAUCAGCCACACUGGAACUGAGACACGGUCCAGACUCCUACGGGAGGCAGCAGUGGGGAAUAUUGCACAAUGGGCGAAAGCCUGAUGCAGCCAUGCCGCGUGUAUGAAGAAGGCCUUCGGGUUGUAAAGUACUUUCAGUUGUGAGGAAGGGGGUAAUGUUAAUAGCGCUAUCUCUUGACGUUAGCAACAGAAGAAGCACCGGCUAACUCCGUGCCAGCAGCCGCGGUAAUACGGAGGGUGCGAGCGUUAAUCGGAAUUACUGGGCGUAAAGCGCAUGCAGGUGGUUCAUUAAGUCAGAUGUGAAAGCCCGGGGCUCAACCUCGGAACUGCAUUUGAAACUGGUGAACUAGAGUGCUGUAGAGGGGGGUAGAAU
rnacentral:rRNA from 1 species